CAAUACACAUUUCUUAAGGUUCAAAACGAAGUGUAUUCACAAUUGUUGGAGCCCCAGGCAUUGGAAAGACUACUUUUUGUAAACAACUGUAUACAGACAAAGAGGUUGUAUCAGAUUUCGACAUUAGAGCUUGGAUUACUAUUCCGCA